rnacentral:rRNA from 1 species
UGCCAGCCGCCGCGGUAAUACGUACUGUGCGAACGUUAUUCGGAAUCACUGGGCUUAAAGGGUGCGUAGGCGGUCCAGCAAGUCAGAUGUGAAAGCCCCCGGCCCAACCGGGGAAUUGCGCUCUAAACUGGAUGGCUUGAGUAAGAUAGGGGUGUGCGGAACUUCCGGUGGAGCGGUGAAAUGUGUUGAUAUCGGAAGGAACACCAGUAGCGAAAGCGGCACACUGGGUCUUAACUGACGCUGAGGCACGAAAGCUAGGGUAGCGAACGGGAUUAGAUA